rnacentral:rRNA from 1 species
CGAAGGGGGCUAGCGUUGUUCGGAUUUACUGGGCGUAAAGCGCACGUAGGCGGAUCUUUAAGUCAGAGGUGAAAUCCCAAGGCUCAACCUUGGAACUGCCUUUGAUACUGGGGAUCUUGAGUCCGGGAGAGGUGAGUGGAACUGCGAGUGUAGAGGUGAAAUUCGUAGAUAUUCGCAAGAACACCAGUGGCGAAGGCGGCUCACUGGCCCGGUACUGACGCUGAGGUGCGAAAGCGUGGGGAGCAAACAGGA